rnacentral:pre_miRNA from 1 species
GGGGGGAGGCCGGGUCCUGGGCUGUGUCCCGGCGCCCUGUGCUCCUGGGCCUGCACUGUUGGAAUCGCGCUCCUGCCCCGCAGCCCCCU